rnacentral:rRNA from 1 species
AUGCAAGUCGAGCGGGCCCUUCGGGGUCAGCGGCAGACGGGUGAGUAACGCGUGGGAACGUACCAUUUACUACGGAAUAACUCAGGGAAACUUGUGCUAAUACCGUAUGAGCCCCCCUUUAAAAUUUCAGGAAUCAUAAAAUGCCCUGGCAUUUUAUGGGGGGGAAAGAUUUAUCGGCAAAUGAUCGGCCCGCGUUGGAUUAGCUAGUUGGUGGGGUAAAGGCCUACCAAGGCGACGAUCCAUAGCUGGUCUGAGAGGAUGAUCAGCCACACUGGGACUGAGACACGGCCCAGACUCCUACGGGAGGCAGCAGUGGGGAAUAUUGGACAAUGGGCGCAAGCCUGAUCCAGCCAUGCCGCGUGAGUGAUGAAGGCCCUAGGGUUGUAAAGCUCUUUCACCGGUGAAGAUAAUGACGGUAACCGGAGAAGAAGCCCCGGCUAACUUCGUGCCAGCAGCCGCGGUAAUACGAAGGGGGCUAGCGUUGUUCGGAUUUACUGGGCGUAAAGCGCACGUAGGCGGGCUAAUAAGUCAGGGGUGAAAUCCCGGGGCUCAACCCCGGAACUGCCUUUGAUACUGUUAGUCUUGAGUAUGGUAGAGGUGAGUGGAAU